UACCCAUGCCCGAAGCUCGACGCUGACCCCCUUUCCUCCUCUCCACAGUUUCUUCUUCCCGAGCCUCUUCAUCAUCCCAAACCGACGGUGUUUCCUCUUCUCUCUCGCUGAUAAAGCCCGUCGGCCAAGUAAGUCUUGUCCCCUUCCUCUCGCGUGGACGACUCGAUGCCGACGAUCGCCGGCUUAUCCUCAUGCGCUAGCUUUCUCUGCCAACACCGACUACUGCCUGGCGCUGCCAACACCACGGAUCCACCAUCAGCAUGUUGUGCCCUAGUGUCGGCGCAGAUCUAGCACACUCUUCUUGAGUCGUGCCCUAGCGACGCCGUCGCUCUUCUUUGCCCUGGAUCAGCAUCACAGUAGCGAAAACCCGAGUUCCCUUCUUGUGUCAUUGCCCUAGAUCACCGCCUAGCACUUGAGAGUCCGCGGAGAUCCCUCUAUACCGAUUACUGCCGCCAUGGAGUGGCUCUAUCUCAGAUCAACCCUCUCCUCACUCAGAAUCGAACGACAAAGGGGCUACAGCCACUGGUGACUAGCUGCGGCUGGCCAGAUUUGAGUGGUUUUUGGGUGGUGUCGGCUGCAAAAUCUUUGGUAGCAAUAUCUUCCAGCAGCAACCUCAUGAUAACAUUCUAUUUCAUUGAGCAGCUGCGAUUCUGAAUUGAGGUAAGAAUUGUAUAGAAGUCGAUUAAUACCAAAUUUAAAUCCAUUGUUUUCUUGUUGUAUGAGAUCGAUUCCAGUUUUGAAAAUUUGAAGUGUUAAUUGUGAGAAAAGGAUUGGUUCAUUUAUGGAUAUUGAGGUUAGAUGUUGGAUUUUAA